rnacentral:rRNA from 1 species
GACGAGGGAUCCUAGCGUUGUUCGGAAUCAUUGGGCGUAAAGCGGAUGUAGGUGGCUUUGUAAGUCAGAUGUGAAAGCCCCGGGCUCAACCCGGGAAGUGCAUUUGAUACUGCGAAGCUUGAGUGCUAGAGAGGUUACUGGAAUACCUGGUGUAGUGGUGAAAUACGUAGAUAUCAGGUGGAAUACCGGAGGCGAAGGCGGGUAACCAGCUAGACACUGACACUCAGAUCCGAAAGUGUGGGGACCAAACAGG